rnacentral:lncRNA from 1 species
UAUUAUUUUACAAAUUUUUAAUGUAAACUAGAUUUUAGAAUCUACCGUAGUAGCACAAAUUCCCCGUUGUGUGGUAGUGUUCGUUGCCUUAUAUUUGUAAAAUUUUAUUUUAUGUAUUUAUGGGAAGCAGUAAUAAAUAUUUAAUAAACUUAACUACUUAACUUUAAUUUAGAACUUUUGGGGGUAAACCAGUUAUCUUCAUAGUAAAUCUCUAUGUUUGAUUUGAUUAUCAUAUUCUAGACGUGAACUUCCGUCUGACGGAACUUUUUUUGGUACCUUUAUGUCCGACAUGCCACUGAAAACCCUUUCUGAAUCAAAGUUAACAACAGGAGUGUUUUUAUAUUUAUAAAACUCGGUAUCCUGAUUAAUGGUUUCAGGUGGCCAUUCUCUCAAUUUGAUGUAUCCCUAUUCUUUUUCUAUUCCCUCCUGACAUUUAUUUUUGGAAUGCUCAAGAUAAAUAUAUUGGCAUAGAUUUUCAACGAUAGGUACACUUGGGAGUAGUAGCCAUCUCAAUUUCAAGGAUUUAAUGGUUACCUGGAUUGAAUUCAAAUUUUGUUGAAUAAACAUCAUUUCUGACAAAAGUGGAUCAUUCUUCAAAUAUCUUUUUCUUUUUAGAUUGCAUAUUUACUUUCAUCCAUAAUAUUAAUAUACUCUUUGACUGAAUUGAUGUGCUUGGCGUAAUAGUCAAUUGUUUUGUAUCACCUGAAUUAUAAAAAAAAAAAUAUUCACUUCAGAGAUGAUAGUGCUUGUAUUAUAGAAGUAAAAUUUAUAUUCUGUUCAGACUAUAAGCAUAAUAACUGAUAUGCAACAUAAUUGGAAAAUGUUGUUUAAGGUUUUUGGCUGCUUCAAUGCAAUACCCUGCUUCAUUGGUAAUGAAAACCCUCACUAUUUUGUCUCUGAAAUCGAAGGCAAGAACGUUGUUCAACUUAUUGUAGCAACACAUGUAAUCAUUCAACCUUUCAAAUUAAUGAGAUAAAGACGACUAAAAAAAUGAACAUAAUAAGGAACAACCACCACUGGAGUCAUGGAUCGCCGUCGAGUCAGUAGUUUCUUCUAAUUCUAUAAAUAUAUCAUUAUCCUCAAAUGUUUAAUGGAUCUUGGAUAACACUUCUUUACUUCAAGACUCCAUUUACUUCGUAAUGGAGAAGCGAGUGUAAAUAACUAUUCCACUGCAAAUUCUGUGAACGUAACAAAAUUUGGAAAUUCUCAAAAUGGCAUGGAAUAUCGUAGGAUACGAGUAUCUUAGUUAUAUAACUAGUAAAAUUGGAAAUGUCAUAUUUUGAUUAUUUAUGCGCCUAUUCAUAAUUGAAGUAGACAGACUAUUAUUCUUCUUCUCCUACUGUCUACUUGUUUCCCUCUGUUUAUUGUUAAUUAUCAGUGAUGUGUGUGUGUCUUUAAACCUGAGGAUCCUUGUUCUCCAGGACCACUGGCUUCUAUGUUGUUCUAGAGGACAUUACAUUAUAGAAAAUGAUUAUUAUUCGAUACCAAAGGGGCUCUGUAGCCGUUUCCUUGGUUGACAGUCGAACUCUCACAGCUCAAACGAGCCACUUCGUUUAAUGGACGGAGUCGAACUCUCAAAGAGCAAGUAACGAACUAACGUUAGGAGGAGAAUAGGAUUUUAUCCCAUGGGCUUUCUGUAAACGCUUCGUUGGAUGGAUGGAGUCUAACUAUCACAAAACAUCAAUCCAACAGACGUGAGUCCACCGAAGGAGGCUUAGAGUCGAUCCCUGAAAAAAUCGGGAUCCCAUCCCACGACCAUUAGUUGCUUCCUUGUUGGAAGGACUUGGUCAGGAUUCCACGAAUGAAGCAUCAAACCUACUUGAGACCCAUAGAAUGCUGAGAUCCCAUACCCACGACUAUCUGUUGCCACUUCUGGGAAGGACGGGAUACUCUUUAUACACGCUUUUGUUGGAAUGUAUAUCAAUUAACCACGUAUAGCUCGUAAAUAAUGUAUAAACAUUUUUUGUUGAUCUGAGAGAAAUUUAUUAAAUAUAAGAAGAUAAAUUAUUA